rnacentral:sRNA from 1 species
UAUGUAAAGAAAAUUAAAGAAGUGCCCUAAGAACAAGUUAGGGAACUGUUGCUUUCUUAUAAAAACGUGAGAAGUAUUGAAAUGCAGGUCUUCUUGCUAUUUUUAGUUUCUCCUUAGUAUGUUACCAAUAAUAUUCAAAACCAAAAUAUUUAUUAGGUUAGGUCAUAAAUAACAUACUGAAAAAACUUCUUGAGCUUAUAUUCGUAAAGUUUCCUGCGACUGAAGCAGAAUCAUUCUCGGAGAUCUUAUAGCAUGGGACCCCACUGUAAACAGUGCGUGUCCAAAGGAGGUGCGUCAAAUGGAUUUCCUGCUGCUGAUAAACCGAAAUACAGUUGCUUUUCAGACGGACUUUCUGCACCAGAGCCCGAAACUAAGGCCACGUAGUGCUUGGAUCGGCGAGAUGAGUGCCUGAGUGCUCGACUCUCUGCUUUUCGGCGGUGAUAAGUGGACGCGGCCAAUGGGCCACGCAGGCAGAUUCCGGAGCUGAGUGAUAACUAUCGGCCGUUCUGGCUGAUAAGCUCCACCAUAAUAGUGCGGUACGUACACACACACACACAGAUACACACGGUGGCAAUGCUACAAAUGCGCGUUCAGAAAUUUAAGCUGCUAUCAGUCGGAUUUCGAUUGGGUGAAAGGUUGGGAACUGGCGAAUGAGAAAGAGGGAUCUCAACCGAGGAGCAGCAGAGACAGAGACCAUGCACUUGUUCGACCAAAGCUGUUUUCUAAAUCAAUGCCCAACGAGUUUUCGUAGCCUACAUUUUCCUCUUCACCGAAAGAACAACAAAGAUAUGGCUGCCUCUUUAUUGAGUGUAUCUUUGUAUGUAUGGACAGAGGCUGUGGCAGGAUUUAUAAAAAGGGAUAAUUGCAGUUGUUGUAGGAGUCAUAAGCCU